UACAGAGGGUGCAAGCGUUGUUCGGAAUUAUUGGGCGUAAAGCGCGUGUAGGCGGCUUUGCAAGUCGGGUGUGAAAGCCCUCAGCUCAACUGAGGAAGUGCGCCCGAAACUGCAGAGCUUGAGUACCGGAGAGGAUGGCGGAAUUCCCCAAGUAGAGGUGAAAUUCGUAGAUAUGGGGAGGAACACCGGUGGCGAAGGCGGCCAUCUGGACGGAUACUGACGCUGAGACGCGAAAGCGUGGGUAACAAACAGG
rnacentral:rRNA from 1 species